CUGAUGCAGCACGCCGCGUGAGGGAUGACGGCCUUCGGGUUGUAAACCUCUUUUAGCAGGGAAGAAGCGAAAGUGACGGUACCUGCAGAAAAAGCGCCGGCUAACUACGUGCCAGCAGCCGCGGUAAUACGUAGGGCGCAAGCGUUAUCCGGAAUUAUUGGGCGUAAAGAGCUCGUAGGCGGUUUGUCGCGUCUGCUGUGAAAUCCCGAGGCUCAACCUCGGGCCUGCAGUGGGUACGGGCAGACUAGAGUGCGGUAGGGGAGAUUGGAAUUCCUGGUGUAGCGGUGGAAUGCGCAGAUAUCAGGAGGAACACCGAUGGCGAAGGCAGAUCUCUGGGCCGUAACUGACGCUGAGGAGCGAAAGGGUGGGGAGCAAACAGGCUUAGAUACCCUGGUAGUCCACCCCGUAAACGUUGGGAACUAGUUGUGGGGACCAUUCCACGGUUUCCGUGACGCAGCUAACGCAUUAAGUUCCCCGCCUGGGGAGUACGGCCGCAAGGCUAAAACUCAAAGGAAUUGACGGGGACCCGCACAAGCGGCGGAGCAUGCGGAUUAAUUCGAUGCAACGCGAAGAACCUUACCAAGGCUUGACAUACACCAGAACGGGCCAGAAAUGGUCAACUCUUUGGACACUGGUGAACAGGUGGUGCAUGGUUGUCGUCAGCUCGUGUCGUGAGAUGUUGGGUUAAGUCCCGCAACGAGCGCAACCCUCGUUCUAUGUUGCCAGCACGUAAUGGUGGGAACUCAUGGGAUACUGCCGGGGUCAACUCGGAGGAAGGUGGGGAUGACGUCAAAUCAUCAUGCCCCUUAUGUCUUGGGCUUCACGCAUGCUACAAUGGCCGGUACAAAGGGCUGCAAUACCGUGAGGUGGAGCGAAUCCCAAAAAGCCGGUCCCAGUUCGGAUUGAGGUCUGCAACUCGACCUC
rnacentral:rRNA from 1 species